AGUCAAUAGAUACCCGGUAGUCCAUGCCGUAAACGAUGAUUGCUAGGUGUGGGGGGUCUGACCCCUUCCGUGCCGGAGUUAAACAACAAAUAAGCAAUCCACCUGGGGAGGUACGGCCGCAAGGUUGAAACUCAAAGGAAUUGACGGGGGCCCGGCACAAGCAGUGGAGUAUGUGGUUUAAUUCGAAGCAACGCGAAGAACCUUACCAGGUCUUGACAUCCACCGAAUCCUGUAGAGAUACGGGAGUGCCCUUCGGGGAACGGUGAGACAGGUGGUGCAUGGUUGUCGUCAGCUCGUGUCGUGAGAUGUUGGGUUAAGUCCCGCAACGAGCGCAACCCUUGUGAAUAGUUGCUACGAAAGAGCACUCUAUUCAGACCGCCGUUGACAAAACGGAGGAAGGUGGGGAUGACGUCAAAUCAUCAUGCCCCUUAUGACCUGGGCUACACACGUACUACAAUGGCCGUUAACAGAGGGAUGCAAUGCCGCGAGGUGGAGCGAACCCCUAAAAACGGUCUCAGUUCAGAUUGCAGGCUGAAACUCG
rnacentral:rRNA from 1 species